AACGGGUGAGUAACACGUGGGUGAUCUGCCCUGCACUUUGGGAUAAGCCUGGGAAACUGGGUCUAAUACCGAAUAGGACCACGCUCUUCAUGGGGUGUGGUGGAAAGCUUUUGCGGUGUGGGAUGGGCCCGCGGCCUAUCAGCUUGUUGGUGGGGUAAUGGCCUACCAAGGCGACGACGGGUAGCCGGCCUGAGAGGGUGACCGGCCACACUGGGACUGAGAUACGGCCCAGACUCCUACGGGAGGCAGCAGUGGGGAAUAUUGCACAAUGGGCGCAAGCCUGAUGCAGCGACGCCGCGUGAGGGAUGACGGCCUUCGGGUUGUAAACCUCUUUCAAUANGGACGAAGCGCAAGUGACGGUACCUAUAGAAGAAGCACCGGCCAACUACGUGCCAGCAGCCGCGGUAAUACGUAGGGUGCGAGCGUUGUCCGGAAUUACUGGGCGUAAAGAGCUCGUAGGUGGUUUGUCGCGUUGUUCGUGAAAACUCACAGCUUAACUGUGGGCGUGCGGGCGAUACGGGCAGACUAAAGUACUGCAGGGGAGACUGGAAUUCCUGGUGUAGCGGUGGAAUGCGCAGAUAUCAGGAGGAACACCGGUGGCGAAGGCGGGUCUCUGGGCAGUAACUGACGCUGAGGAGCGAAAGCGUGGGGAGCGAACAGGAUUAGAUACCCUGGUAGUCCACGCCGUAAACGGUGGGUACUAGGUGUGGGUUCCUUCCUUGGGAUCCGUGCCGUAGCUAACGCAUUAAGUACCCCGCCUGGGGAGUACGGCCGCAAGGCUAAAACUCAAAGGAAUUGACGGGGGCCCGCACAAGCGGCGGAGCAUGUGGAUUAAUUCGAUGCAACGCGAAGAACCUUACCUGGGUUUGACAUGCACAGGACGCCGGCAGAGAUGUCGGUUCCCUUGUGGCCUGUGUGCAGGUGGUGCAUGGCUGUCGUCAGCUCGUGUCGUGAGAUGUUGGGUUAAGUCCCGCAACGAGCGCAACCCUUGUCCUAUGUUGCCAGCGGGUUAUGCCGGGGACUCGUAGGAGACUGCCGGGGUCAACUCGGAGGAAGGUGGGGAUGACGUCAAGUCAUCAUGCCCCUUAUGUCCAGGGCUUCACACAUGCUACAAUGGCCGGUACAAAGGGCUGCGAUGCCGUGAGGUGGAGCGAAUCCUUUCAAAGCCGGUCUCAGUUCGGAUCGGGGUCUGCAACUCGACCCCGUGAAGUCGGAGUCGCUAGUAAUCGCAGAUCAGCAACGCUGCGGUGAAUACGUUCCCGGGCCUUGUACACACCGCCCGUCACGUCAUGAAAGUCGGUAACACCCGAAGC
rnacentral:rRNA from 1 species